rnacentral:rRNA from 1 species
AGCAUGUGGUUUAAUUCGAAGAUACACGAAGAACCUUACCUGGCCUUGACAUGGUAGGAACCUUAAGAGAUUAGGGGGUGCUAGCUUGCUAGAACCUACACACAGGUGCUGCACGGCUGUCGUCAGCUCGUGUCGUGAGAUGUUGGGUUAAGUCCCGCAACGAGCGCAACCCUCGUCCUUAGUUGCUAACAGUUCGGCUGAGCACUCUAGGGAGACUGCCUUCGCAAGGAGGAGGAAGGUGAGGACGACGUCAAGUCAUCAUGGCCCUUACGGCCAGGGCUACACACGUGCUACAAUGGGGCGUACAGAGAGCUGCGAUACCGCGAGGUGGAGCCAAUCUCUUAAAGCGUCUCUCAGUUCGGAUUGUUCUCUGCAACUCGAGAACAUGAAGCUGGAAUCACUAGUAAUCGCAGAUCAGCUAUGCUGCGGUGAAUACGUUCCCGGGUCUU